UAGGGAAUCUUCCACAAUGGACGCAAGUCUGAUGGAGCAACGCCGCGUGAGUGAAGAAGGUUUUCGGAUCGUAAAGCUCUGGUGUUGGUGAAGAAGGAUAGAGGCAGUAACUGGUCUUUAUUUGACGGUAAUCAACCAGAAAGUCACGGCUAACUACGUGCCAGCAGCCGCGGUAAUACGUAGGUGGCAAGCGUUGUCCGGAUUUAUUGGGCGUAAAGCGAGCGCAGGCGGAAUGAUAAGUCUGAUGUGAAAGCCCACGGCCCAACCGUGGAACUGCAUCGGAAACUGUCAUUCUUGAGUGCAGAAGAGGAGAGUGGAAUUCCAUGUGUAGCGGUGGAAUGCGUAGAUAUAUGGAAGAACACCAGUGGCGAAGGCGGCUCUCUGGUCUGAAACUGACGCUGAGGCUCGAAAGCAUGGGUAGCGAACAGG
rnacentral:rRNA from 1 species